AAUUCUCAACCAUCCUUUGAUUGAUUUCGAGGGAUGGCUUGGAUCUUGGGAGUUGCUGGCUGUCCCUCGGGACGGUCGGCUCUCCUUAAAAGCAUUAGCGAAAGGUUGACAAGCCCUGCAUGCACGGCCUUUGACGUGAUAAUGAUCGUCGUGGCUGGAGUGUGAGGCGUAGAUUCGAUCUUUGCUUCCAAAAACAUGGUAUUGGGGGGACUUGCGACCCUCUUUACUUUUUGAC
rnacentral:misc_RNA from 1 species